GCGGCGUGCUUACACAUGCAAGUCGAGCGGAAAGGCCCUUCGGGGUACUCGAGCGGCGAACGGGUGAGUAACACGUGAGCAACCUGCCCCAGGCUUUGGGAUAACCCCGGGAAACCGNGGCUAAUACCGAAUAUGACCUUGCACCGCAUGGUGUUUGGUGGAAAGUUUUUCGGCUUGGGAUGGGCUCGCGGCCUAUCAGCUUGUUGGUGGGGUGAUGGCCUACCAAGGCGACGACGGGUAGCCGGCCUGAGAGGGCGACCGGCCACACUGGGACUGAGACACGGCCCAGACUCCUACGGGAGGCAGCAGUGGGGAAUAUUGCACAAUGGGCGGAAGCCUGAUGCAGCGACGCCGCGUGAGGGAUGACGGCCUUCGGGUUGUAAACCUCUUUCAGCAGGGACGAAGCGUAAGUGACGGUACCUGCAGAAGAAGCGCCGGCCAACUACGUGCCAGCAGCCGCGGUAAGACGUAGGGCGCGAGCGUUGUCCGGAUUUAUUGGGCGUAAAGAGCUCGUAGGCGGCUUGUCGCGUCGACUGUGAAAACCCGCAGCUCAACUGCGGGCCUGCAGUCGAUACGGGCAGGCUAGAGUUCGGUAGGGGAGACUGGAAUUCCUGGUGUAGCGGUGAAAUGCGCAGAUAUCAGGAGGAACACCGGUGGCGAAGGCGGGUCUCUGGGCCGAUACUGACGCUGAGGAGCGAAAGCGUGGGGAGCGAACAGGAUUAGAUACCCUGGUAGUCCACGCUGUAAACGUUGGGCGCUAGGUGUGGGGGGCCUCUCCGGUUCCCUGUGC
rnacentral:rRNA from 1 species